AAAUAUUAGAAUGUCCACCCGAAUCUCAAAACACAACUAAUAUUGCUGAUGAUGCAAUUAGCAUUGUGUUUGGCAAUGAAGCUCGGGGUAGAGUGCGUGGAAUGAGCUUUGGAGUAACAUCAUCGAAAGUUGGAGCUUCAGUGCAACAAAAUGGAAUGGUUCAACAACUUCAAACUAUAGUACAAAAUGUUCAACAACAAAUGCAGGAAAUGAGGCAACAAAAUCAACUAGAAAUGCAAGAAAUGAGGUCUAUGUUUUUACAAAGUAUGAGACAACAAAAUCAUCCAGAACAGAUUGCUAGUGGUGGUAUUUGUAGCGGUAUUGGGAAUGAAUUUGGUAGCAAUAGCGAUAUUAAUAUUGGUGCCAAAAAAAAGUGGUGAUUUUCGUCAUGUUUUUCAGUUAAAUUCGAGAAAUGCGAGUCGUGGAGAUAUAUGUGCUAAUACUAAAUGUAAGCUGCUUCAUUGGUCUGCUGAUGAAUUAGUUGUUGCAGAAGGUCGAACUGCAUCCACAGAUCCAAAUACAAAAGUGCAUCACGUUAUUCUUGGCAGAUCAUGUUGGAAAAUUUGGGUUGAUAAAGUUUUGGUGGAAAAGGUUGACCUAAUUCGACCAAAUGAUGAAAUGCAGUUUCUUGAUGAUGCAAUAGAAAGCACGGUUGCAUGGUUAUCGAAAUUUAUAGUAUUGUGUGAUUGAUACAUAAUAUACUAAUUUG